rnacentral:rRNA from 1 species
UACAGAGGGUGCGAGCGUUGUUCGGAAUUACUGGGCGUAAAGCGCGCGCAGGCGGCCCUUUAAGUCUGACGGUGAAAUGCCGGGGCUCAACCCCGUGCCCGCCGCGGAUACUGGAGGGCUGGAGACACGUAGAGGCAAGCGGAAUUCCGGGUGUAGCGGUGGAAUGCGUAGAGAUCCGGAAGAACACCGGAGGCGAAGGCGGCUUGCUGGGCGUAGUCUGACGCUGAGGCGCGAAAGCCAGGGGAGCGAACGGG